UUAUGAUUCUGAAAGCAAUUAACCCAUUCAUGUAUUUCUUUCUCUUCUCUUUCUCUCUUUUUCAGCCCACAGAACCCCCUCCACAUGGUACCCGGACUUUAGACAGAGGCCGUCACUCUGACCCACCGCUACACACAAACCCUCACAACUUCUACACUGUCCCACCCGAUGGCCACGAUAGCACACACACACCGCCACGCAACACUGACCCACUCCAACACAAUGGCCACGCCAACAGAAAUAGGUUCCCACACAAUGCCCAACAUCCGAAUGCCAAUUCGUUUCCACAACAUGGCACCACGCAGGACCACAACCCUUUCACACACACUGCUGCACCUCAGAACGCCAACAGACUCGACACCUUCCCACAGAUGACUCAAAACAACCCAAACACUCCAAACAUUCUCAUACAAGCGGGUUCUACUCAGGUCGGUGUUAACCUUAACACACUGCCACACGACCAGCAAAAUAGCAACGCACAGAUGGCCACGGUUCACGUCAAUCUCAAUUCCUAUCCAACUAAUGGUCAACAACCCAACCAACAGUCACAGCAACAAUUUACAAGCCCACAGGACAGUACAGCGGAGCGGAGCGCCACCAGUGCUAGUGCUCUUCAGGUUCAAAAUGACAACCCACAAACGUUCACACAGACUGGACAGUCAUACUCCAAUCCCAGGAUGCAAAUGGGCUUGUCCUAUCCUGGUGAUACUUCACAGGUUGACCACAGUAACUUAGACACUGGUCCUCAAGUCUCUACUGGUCCUGUUCCGACUGGUUACACACACGCGGGUCGAAGUCAUACUCUCCAGCGAAACGCCAACACGCAGACCUACCAGAUGGACCAGGCCACUGAUACCCAGCCUAGACACUCCAACCCAGCAGCGGACAGUUCUGUGCCACGUGAUGCCAGUCAUGCCACACCAAGUGCCAGCUCACACCGCCAACAAAUGCCUUGGGACCGUCUGAGGGGCACCCCGGCGUACCCCAACGACCCCCCCCAGAAGGGUACAGGCUUCCCCCGACAGCAGCUACACCUCUGAUGGCACAGAGUCCCCGUCCCAGGCUAGACGAUCCAGACCACACACCAGGAAGAGUGGGCCAGGAGCACAGAUCCAGAGUCCCCCAGGAGCACAGACCCAGAGUCCCCCACAGAGCCGAUCUACACCCAGGAAGGCUGCACCGACGGCGGGCAGACAGACCCACAACCUCCCCCACACUCAUGGGACGAACCCUGAGCCUGGGGCUCCAAGCCACACACAGUCGCAUAUCAGUCCCCAUGCACACGGUACACCAAGGCAGAGAGCCCAGCAGGAUGUCAGAGCUCAAUCCCAGAUCACAGCUCAGACCGCUUCUCAAAGCCAGACUGGCCCCAGGCAACAAAAUGCCUCCCGCAGCUACCACAACCCCCAGCCACAACAACAGGGACCAGGCGCUCCACAGGGACUAAUAACCACCAUGCCCCGAGGCACCACACUCGACACGCGAGCUCUCGCCAAUCCAAAUCACAUCCCACAGACACAAACCGGGAUUCAGUAUGGUAGGGGAAACACACACAUGAUACCGCAGCCCACACAAGACCAGAGACAGACAGUAACACAAGGUUGGGGUGCACUAACACAGCCUGUUACACAGAACCCCAGUAGCCUCACUCAGACGGCCCUGGAGAUGCACACACUGACGACCCCUAACCCUUUUCACAACCGUAACCACCAGACACAGGCCGCCCUGCUCAACACCCAAGCUCGAGGCCGUAACCCUGGGCACCAGCGGCCCCCCACGCCCCCUCCCGUGAUCCCUCUGGCUCAGUUCCAGACUAUUCCCAGAGAAAGCACACGGCACCAGUCUCCAAACCGGGGCCCCACUGGCCCUCUCAGGCCCCCGGUCAACGUACACACCACACAGAGACACCCCAACGCCCACCCGCCCCACAGACAUCCCGGUGCUAGCAUGCCGGCCAACCUGCACUCGGGAAAUGCCCACCACGUGCACGCUGAUAACACACACAGACACGGUCAACAUACUCAUCAUGCCCACAGGAACACUGCCCACCCACGCCAGACCCACCAAGGGAGGCCUAGACACUGAGAGAUGCCAACGGACACACACACACCAGCAACUGACAAGAGGAGAAACACAAGCAUGGAUGACUAUGAGAGCCCCACUCUAAAGCAAUGGAGACCAAGCAAAAACACACAUAUGCGCGUGCGCACACACACACACACACACACUAUCACACACACGACUCCCCCUGCCUGUCAAGGGUAUGUUAUCUGUUGAUUUUCAACAGUACCAACAAUGAGUCACUGGAAAACACACACAGAUGUGUUAUUUCUGAAGCACUGUAUAACCAAAUAGUAGGAAUGAGAAAAGGGCCUUAUUGAGGCGAGACACUCCAGGCCGUGUGUCGUGGCCUCUCCCAUUCAGCGUGUUCAGAGCGAGAAUGAGGCACUACCACAACAAUGAGGACUUGAAAUGUUUCCAUUCAUAGCUGUGUGUGUGUUGCUUCUUGUGACUAGAAUGAACAGUAAAAAGGAAAGAAAAAGAGAACCCGUGCUGGACUGAUUCCAAUUGAAUGGACUUGGCCCCUGGGAACUACUGUGUGAAAAUGGGCCCCUGGGAACUACUGUGUGAAAAUUCAGAAGGAAAAAAAAAAACCUCUGCGACUUGCUUUAUUUAAUAUUUCCAUGGAAGUAUUUAUGUGGUGACUUUCUGUUUACAGAUGCUUCUCUUGACACCGCUCAAUUAACGGGAUUGGCCUCGGCGCCUGGGCUUCAGAAGCAAUGCUCAACUAACUAUGAAGGAGACCCCACAAAUGGAUGGGCCGCUUAUUAAUUAAGUGCUUUUAUGUGACUUAAACGACUCGUAAAAUAAUAGCGCCCAUGCGUGGAGGAGGUCAGCACGAAGAAGCUGCUGAGCUGCCACAUUUUCCCCGGCUAAGCAAAGCAAAACAAUUUGCUCCGGGACUACGAUGCUCUUUUGUGUGGGGGAUUGACACAUUAAAAGGGAUCUCUAUUGGAAUGAAUCUUAGUUCUCUUUUGAACAAAUUGUAUAUUUAAUGUUUUUCUUUCUCUGUUACGUGGUAAAUAUGUUCGACUGCUAUUGCAACAUGUGUCUUUGUGACUCAGGGAGGCUGUUUUAUACUAAAAUAUGUGUUCCAUUAAAAUACAGAAAAGAGGAUAAAUAAGGUUUUUAAAGAUUAGGGGUCUCCAUUGAACAUUUUUUUCAGGACUAGGCCGCCCCCAUAUGUUUUAUUGAUGAUAAUAAAGUAUUUUGAUUUACAGGAAA